rnacentral:rRNA from 1 species
UACGGAGGUGGCAAGCGUUGUUCGGAAUUACUGGGCGUAAAGGGCGCGUAGGCGGCUAGGCAAGUCAGGUGUGAAAGCCCCGAGCUUAACUCGGGAAUUGCAUCUGAAACUGCUGUGCUUGAGUUUUGGAGGGGGUAGUGGAAUUCCCAGUGUAGCGGUGAAAUGCGUAGAUAUUGGGAGGAACACCUGCGGCGAAGGCGGCUACCUGGACAGAAACUGACGCUGAGGCGCGAAAGCUAGGGGAGCGAACGGG